rnacentral:rRNA from 1 species
AUGGCCGCAGUAUACUAACUGUGCAAAGGUAGCAUAAUCAUUAGUCUUUUAAUUGAAGGCUGGUAUGAAUGGUUGGACGAGAUAUUAACUGUUUCAUGAAAAUUUAUAAUAGAAUUUUAUUUUUUAGUCAAAAAGCUAAAAUUUAUUUAAAAGACGAGAAGACCCUAUAAAUCUUUAUAUUUAUAUUAUUAUAAUUUUUUAGAUUCUUUUUGUUAUAAUAAUAGAUUAUAUUUUAUUGGGGUGAUAUUAAAAUUUAAUAAACUUUUAAUUGUUUAAAUCAUUAAUUUAUGAAUAAUUGAUCCGUUAUUAGCGAUUAAAAAAACAAGUUACUUUAGGGAUAACAGCGUAAUUUUUUUGGAGAGUUCAUAUCGAUAAAAAAGAUUGCGACCUCGAUGUUGGAUUAAGAUAUAAUUUUAGGUGUAGCCGCUUAAAUUUUAAGUCUGUUCGACUUUUAAAUUCUUACAUGAUCUGAGUUCAAACCGGCGUAAGCCAGGUUGGUUUCUAUCUUUAAAAA